rnacentral:rRNA from 1 species
CAGUAGCCGCGGGAAUACAGAGGGUGCGAGCGUUAAUCGGAUUUACUGGGCGUAAAGCGUGCGUAGGCGGCUUCUUAAGUCGGAUGUGAAAUCCCUGAGCUUAACUUAGGAAUUGCAUUCGAUACUGGGAAGCUAGAGUAUGGGAGAGGAUGGUAGAAUUCCAGGUGUAGCGGUGAAAUGCGUAGAGAUCUGGAGGAAUACCGAUGGCGAAGGCAGCCAUCUGGCCUAAUACUGACGCUGAGGUACGAAAGCAUGGGGAGCAAACAGGAUUAGAGACCCCCGUAGUCCCUGUCUCUUAUAC